GGGGGCAACCCUGAUGCAGCGACGCCGCGUGAGCGAUGAAGCCCUUCGGGGCGUAAAGCUCUUUCGACCGGAACGAUAAUGACGGGACCGGGAGAAGAAGCUGCGGCUAACUACGUGCCAGCAGCCGCGGUAAUACGUAGGAAGCAAGCGUUGUUCGGAGUUACUGGGCGUAAAGAGUGCGUAGGCGGUUUUCUAAGUUCGGGGUGAAAUCUCCCGGCUUAACUGGGAGGGUGCGCCGAAGACUGGGAAGCUGGAGUGUGGGAAAGGCAGGCGGAAUUCCUGUUGUAGCUGUGAAAUGCGUAGAUAUCAGGAGGAACACCGGCGGUGUAGACGGCUUGCUACACCAUAACUGACGCUGAGGCACGA
rnacentral:rRNA from 1 species